rnacentral:rRNA from 1 species
GAUGAACGCUGGCGGCGUGCCUAAUACAUGCAAGUCGAGCGAACAGACGAGGAGCUUGCUCCUCUGACGUUAGCGGCGGACGGGUGAGUAACACGUGGAUAACCUACCUAUAAGACUGGGAUAACUUCGGGAAACCGGAGCUAAUACCGGAUAAUAUAUUGAACCGCAUGGUUCAAUAGUGAAAGACGGUUUUGCUGUCACUUAUAGAUGGAUCCGCGCCGCAUUAGCUAGUUGGUAAGGUAACCGCUUACCAAGGCAACGAUGCGUAGCCGACCUGAGAGGGUGGUCGGCCACACUGGAACUGAGACACGGUCCAGACUCCUACGGGAGGCAACAGUAGGGAAUCUUCCGCAAUGGGCGAAAGCUUGACGGAGCAACGCCGCGUGAGUGAUGAAGGUCUUCGGAUCGUAAAACUCUGUUAUUAGGGAAGAACAAAUGUGUAAGUAACUAUGCACGUCUUGACGGUACCUAAUCAGAAAGCCACGGCUAACUACGUG